rnacentral:rRNA from 1 species
AUUGAACGCUGGCGGCAGGCCUAACACAUGCAAGUCGAACGAGUGGCGGACGGGUGAGUAAUGUCUGGGAAACUGCCUGAUGGAGGGGGAUAACUACUGGAAACGGUAGCUAAUACCGCAUACCAUCAGAUGUGCCCAGAUGGGAUUAGCUUGUUGGUUAGGUAACGGCUAACCAAGGCGACGAUACCUACCUGGUCUGAGAGGAUGACCAGCCACACUGGGACUGGGACACGGAGCAGACUCCUACGGUAGGCAGCGGUGGGGAAUAUUGCCCAAGGGGGGCAAGCCUGAUGCAGCCAUGCCGCGUGUAGGAAGAAGGCCUUCGGGUUGUAAAGUACUUUCAGCGGGGAGGCGUUACCCGCAGAAGAAGCACCGGCUAACUCCGUGCCAGCAGCCGCGGUAAUUC